UAAGUUAAAUAAUAUUACUAAUAAGAUCUAAUGUGAAUUGUUUUCUAUCAUUCAGGCAUGGUUAAACCCUAGUUCUCUCAGGUAUUGCCUUCUCUGUGGGGAGAUUCAAUGAUGUGGUUACUGUAGACACAAGAAAGAAUGUUCUUUAGUUAAUCCAAGUCCUCUUUUCUCUUGUUUUGAUGUCAAGUGCAAGAUACACAAAUUCAAGUUGAUGAUAGUUCCCAGUGGAUGAAAGCAAUGGCUCUAGUCUGAGUUGUGGCAGUCCUUGAAUCCUGUGAGUAUCAGCAGGGUUCCUGGUGUGUGCUGAUGUAAUCCCUAGGUCACAGAACACUGAUGCUGGCUUGCAUCAUAAUAGCCCUGUUGGUAUGUUGAGCACUGGUCAGGACAGUGAUUUAGUGAGGAAGUAGUUUCUCUACUGAUUUGUUGUUCGUGAGUGUACAAGUGAACUAGUUUGAUUCUUCGUUAUACUGAUUGGAGUGACUCUCUGAAGAGGAGGUGAAUUUGAAGAGGUGAUUUGUUGUUCGUGAGUGUACAAGUGAACUAGUUUGAUUCUUCGUUAUACUGAUUGGAGUCACUCUCUGAAGAGGAGGUGAAUUUGAAGAGGUGAUUUGUUGUUCGUGAGUGUACAAGUGAACUAGUUUGAUUCUUCGUUAUACUGAUUGGAGUCACUCUCUGAAGAGGUGAACCAUGAAGCAGAAACGAAAAAGGAAGCAUCUAGAAAGGACAAGUUCCCCCCAAACUGUCAAGAGGUCAAAAGACAAUACUCUGGUCCCUGAGGCAAAAGGUGAAUCCUCUGAAUCAGAAUACUUCUCCUGCUAUUCCUCCUUGAGUCAUCUGUCUUCUGCAGGAAUCUCAAAAUCAAGCAAAUUUGAUCCACCAACUGGACCCUCUUUGGAAGACAAUACUCUGGUCCAUGAGGCUAAAGGUGAAUCAUCUGAAUCAAAAUACUUCUGCUAUUCCUCCUUGAGUCAUCUAUUUUCUGCAGGAAUCUCAAAAUCAAGCAAAUUUGAUCCACCACCUGGCCACUCUUUGGAAGACAAUACUCUGGUCCCUGUGGCAAAAGGUGAAUCCUCUGAAUCAGAAUACUUCUCCUGCUAUUCCUCCUUGAGUCAUCUGUCUUCUGCAGGUAAGGGGCAAGGAAAGGCAUGCAAAGUCAAGAAGAUUAGGGCAGUGGGAGCCUGAACAGACUGGUAGACACCCAGCUAAGCAUCUCUCAGCUAGUGGGAGAAAGGUACACAUCAGACCCAGUUAUAAUCUUAUCCUCA
rnacentral:lncRNA from 12 species